CCCUUAGAUGUUCUGGGCCGCACGCGUGCUACACUGAACGGUUCAAUGGGUAAGGUAGUGCGAAAGCAUGACCUAAUCUCGAAAUCCGUUCGUGCUGGGGAUAGAAGCUUGCAAUUAUCCUUCUUGAACGAGGAAUACCUUGUAAGCGUGAGUCAUCAUCUCACGCUGAAUACGUCCCUGCCCUUUGUACACACCGCCCGUCGCUCCUACCGAUUGAGUGUUCCGGUGAGGCUUUGGGAGAAUGGCCUCAACAUGAGUUUAUCGUGUUUUGCCGUUUGAGCUUAGUCAAACCUUAUCACUUAGAGGAAGGAGAAGUCGUAACA
rnacentral:rRNA from 1 species